UGACCGUUUGUGUGAGAUUAGGGUCAACAGUGUGCUAAGCUAGCAGAGUUAUUCAUAUCACGCUUUCUAAAAGGUUUCUGUGGUAAAAUUUUACCUCAGUGCCCUUCAGCAUGAUUCGACACCAUUUCACAGUCACAGAACGUAUACUGACCGUAUUGUGUGAGCUUCGUGGUUCCUGAAAGGACCCGAGCGUGCGGCGUGAAGAAGAAGAAGACGUCAUCAAAGCCAAUGGCGAACAACGAAGUGUUGUAUCGACACUGUGAUCGCUGCAGUCCAGAUGCAUUCUGGGCCGUCAGAGUACCGGGGACGCAAGCCGACGCUCUGAUCGACACAAAUCCGUUUCCUCAUGACGGCAUUCAAAAAACUUCAGACCAGAAGUGCACUCUCAGGAUGUAUCGUGUUCUCACCUGCGCUCAUCCGGGUCCAGGUGGAGAAGAGGAAGAUCGGCAACUCCUGUCCAGCUACAGCGAAUGUGCGUCAUGUAGUCGUUCCGACAUUCCAAGGAAUCCAAAGCAGGAGAUUCUGGAGAAAACCGCACAAAUUCACAAAUGAUCAGAUGAAACCAUCGUAAACAAGUGAUAUCGAAAUAUAAUAAAGCUGUGGUGUUAAUCCAAUAA